rnacentral:ncRNA from 1 species
GGAGGGGUGAGUAAUGCGUAAGAACCUGUCCUUGGGAGGGGAACAACAGUUGAAAACGACUACUAAUACCCAGUAGCAGGCUGAGAAGCAAAAGGAGGAAUUCGCCCGAGGAGGGGCUCGUGUCUGAUUAAUUAGCUAGUUGGUAAGGCAAUAGCUUACCAAGGCGAUGAUCAGUAGCUGAUUCGAGAGGAUGAUCAGCUACACUCAGACUGAAACACGGCUUAGACUCCGUACG